rnacentral:rRNA from 1 species
UUAAAGUAGUAAGGGCGCAGGGUGGAUGCCUUGGCACUAAGAGCCGAUGAAAGACGUGAUAAGCUGCGAAAAGCUUCGGGGAGGAGCACAUAUCCAAUGAUCCGGAGAUAUCUGAAUGGGGAAACCCGGCAGAGGAAACCUCUGUCAGCGUGCAGUGAAUACAUAGCUGUACGUGGGGAACCCGGGGAACUGAAACAUCUAAGUACCCGGAGGAAGAGAAAGAAAAUUUAUCGAUUUCCAAAGUAGCGGCGAGCGAAAUGGAAAGAGCCCAAACCGUGAUGCGUGCAUCGCGGGGUUCGGACUGCGUUGUGGCAGACGUAAGAUAGGAGAACGGACUGGGAAGUCCGGCCGGAGAGAGUGAAAGCCUCGUAUCCGAAAUCCCAAGUCGCCUAGCAGGAUCCAGAGUAGGACGAGACACGAGAAACCUUGUCUGAACGAGCGGGGACCACCCCGUAAGGCUAAAUACUUCUUAGUGACCGAUAGCGCAUAGUACUGUGAAGGAAAGGUGAAAAGUACCCCGGGAGGGGAGUGAAAGAGAACCUGAAACCCUGUGUCUACAAGCUGUGGGACCUCUUUAUAUGAGGGACUGCGUACUUUUUGUAGAACGGUCCGGCGAGUUGUGCGUACUGGCGAGGUUAAGGACUUAAGGUCUGGAGCCGAAGUGAAAGCAAGCGUUAAUAGCGCGUCAAGUCAGUGAGUGCAGACCCGAAACCGGGUGACCUAUCCAUGUCCAGGUUGAAGCUUCCGUAAGAGGAAGUGGAGGACCGAACCCACAUCCGUUGAAAAGGGUGGGGAUGAGGUGUGGAUAGCGGAGAAAUUCCAAUCGAACCCGGAGAUAGCUGGUUCUCCUCGAAAUAGCUUUAGGGCUAGCCUCAUGAGAGUCUUAUGGAGGUAGAGCACUGAAUUGCCUAGGGGGCGUCAAAGCUUACCAAAGCAUAUCAAACUCCGAAUGCCAUCAAGAUGAUUCAUGGGAGUCAGACCAUACGAGAUAAGUUGGAUGGUCAAAAGGGAAAGAGCCCAGACCUACAGCUAAGGUCCCAAAGUGCGUGUUAAGUGGAAAAGGAUGUGGGGAUUCUAAGACAACUAGGACGUUGGCUUAGAAGCAGCCAUUCAUUGAAAGAGUGCGUAAUAGCUCACUAGUCGAGAGUCCCUGCGCCGAAAAUGUCCGGGGCUGAAACACGACACCGAAGCUUAGGAAUGUGUAAACAUUGGUAGAGGAGCAUUGCUGGCGGGAUGAAGCCAUACCGUAAGGAGUGGUGGACUGCCAGGAAGAGAGAAUGCCGGAAUGAGUAGCGAGAUGAAGGUGAGAAUCCUUCAGGCCGAAUAUCUAAGGUUUCCAGAGUAAAGCUGAUCUGCUCUGGGUAAGUCGGGACCUAAGGCGAGGUCGAAAGACGUAGUCGAUGGAUAACAGGUUGAAAUUCCUGUACCGCAUAUAAACAGAACUGUGGGGACACAGACAGGGAAUGGAAUCCGGGAAUGGAGAUCCCGGUGCAAGCGAGGUAGGAGUGCUGUUGGCAAAUCCGCAGCACGAUCUGAAGACGUGAUGCGUACCGAACAUAAGUAGGGAAGUCCAGGCCCCUGGCUGUCAAGAAAAGCCGCUAUCGUUUUAUAUGUGCCCGUACCGCAAACCGACACAGGUGGAUGAGGAGAGAAUCCUAAGGCCGACGGGAGAAGUAUUGUUAAGGAACUCGGCAAAAUGACUCCGUAACUUCGGGAGAAGGAGUGCCAUGAGAGUGGCCGCAGAGAAAUGGCCCAAGCAACUGUUUAGCAAAAACACAGGUCUAUGCAAAACCGCAAGGUGAAGUAUAUGGGCUGACGCCUGCCCGGUGCUGGAAGGUUAAGGGGAGAGGUUAGCGCAAGCGAAGCUUUGAACUUAAGCCCCAGUAAACGGCGGCCGUAACUAUAACGGUCCUAAGGUAGCGAAAUUCCUUGUCGGGUAAGUUCCGACCC